rnacentral:rRNA from 1 species
CCUACGGGUGGCAGCAGUGAGGAAUAUUGGUCAAUGGCCGGAAGGCUGAACCAGCCAUGCCGCGUGAAGGUCAGUGCCCUAUGGGCGUUAAACUUCUUUUGUGCGGGAGCAAUAAUGGUCACGUGUGGCCAGACGAGAGUACCGUACGAAUAAGCAUCGGCUAACUCCGUGCCAGCAGCCGCGGUAAUACGGGGGAUGCAAGCGUUAUCCGGAUUUAUUGGGUUUAAAGGGUGCGUAGGCUGUGAGGUAAGUCAGCGGUGAAAUGCCCCCGCUCAACGGGGUGAAGUGCCAUUGAUACUGGGGAUCUUGAGUGGGCGAGAAGUAUGCGGAAUGCGUGGUGUAGCGGUGAAAUGCAUAGAUAUCACGCAGAACUCCGAUUGCGAAGGCAGCAUACCGGCGCCCGACUGACGCUGAGGCACGAAAGCGUGGGGAUCGAACAGGAUUAGAUACCCUGGUAGUC